rnacentral:rRNA from 1 species
GAUGAACGCUAGCUACAGGCUUAACACAUGCAAGUCGAGGGACCGGCGCACGGGUGAGUAACACGUAUCCAACCUGCCCUGUACUCGGGGAUAGCCUUUCGAAAGAAAGAUUAAUACCCGAUGUAAAGGAUGGGGAUGCGUUCCAUUAGGUUGUUGGUGAGUGAACGGCUCACCAAGCCUUCGGUGGAUAGGGGUUCUGAGAGGAAGGUCCCCCACAUUGGAACUGAGACACGGUCCAAACUCCGACGGGAGGCAGCAGUGAGGAAUAUUGGGCAAUGGGCGUUAGCCUGAACCAGCCAAGUAGAGUGAAGGAUGAAGGCUUAUGGGUCGUAAACUUCUUUUAUAUAAGAAUAUGUAUUAUAUGAAUAAGGAUCGGCUAACUCCGUGCCAGCAGCCGCGGUAAUAC